AAGAGGGACAUUAAGAUAGAAAAGAGGAACAGAUGUUCUUGGGCUCAAAAUAUUGACUGUCCUUCCAAAAUAGGGACACUUGGGUAAAGGUUCAAUGACAGGGCCCUGAGAUACUUCAAUCAUGAGAACGCUGUUGGAAAAUGUUCCUUUUAAUUUCCAGUGAACUGGCACAGACCAUGGCAAGUAUAAACCAGAGAUUAUUUUGUUUUGAACUAUAAAGAAAUUAC